rnacentral:rRNA from 1 species
UACAGAGGGUGCAAGCGUUAAUCGGAAUUACUGGGCGUAAAGCGCGCGUAGGUGGUUCGUUAAGUUGGAUGUGAAAGCCCCGGGCUCAACCUGGGAACUGCAUCCAAAACUGGCGAGCUAGAGUACGGUAGAGGGUGGUGGAAUUUCCUGUGUAGCGGUGAAAUGCGUAGAUAUAGGAAGGAACACCAGUGGCGAAGGCGACCACCUGGACUGAUACUGACACUGAGGUGCGAAAGCUAGGGGAGCGAACGGG